rnacentral:rRNA from 1 species
CAGCAGCCGCGGUAAUACGUAGGGUGCAAGCGUUAAUCGGAAUUACUGGGCGUAAAGCGUGCGCAGGCGGUUAUAUAAGACAGAUGUGAAAUCCCCGGGCUCAACCUGGGAACUGCAUUUGUGACUGUAUAGCUAGAGUACGGCAGAGGGGGAUGGAAUUCCGCGUGUAGCAGUAAAAUGCGUAGAUAUGCGGAGGAACACCGAUGGCGAAGGCAAUCCCCUGGGCCUGUACUGACGCUCAUGCACGAAAGCGUGGGGAGCAAACAGGAUUAGAUACCCCCGUAGUCCCUGUCUCUUAUAC